CACCAACCUUCAACCUACCAACCGAUUUUUCUGUGGAAAAUCCUGUUAAAAAAGGGUGAAAGUACAUAAGCAAAUUAUUAUCAUUUUCACAAGUUGCCACGCAAUUAACAAAUGCAAUCAAUACAAUGACAUAUAUGGAUUAACCCAGAAAUCGCUUUGAGUAAACUGAUGAUAUCCUUGUCAUUUUAAAUUCAUUCGUUAUUGAUACAGGUAAUGAUUUCUGUAAACUUACCCAAAUUAUAUCACAUGAAUUAUCCCCCUACGCAAAGCUUUCUUUAUCCAUUUUUUGUAAUUUUAAAAGAAACAAGCUUGAUUUAUAUUAUCAAUUGGUCAACGGCGGACGGUGUAAAUAGUCUUUAAAAAUGUAAUAGCUAAACAGAUAACUGCAACGAUACACUAUUACAAAGUCCACAAGCGAAUCAUGUAUUGCUUUUUAGGUAUUUGAUUUUAAAUAAGACUGACGGAAC
rnacentral:lncRNA from 1 species